UCACGAUUCAGUUCCUCAAACUCUCUCAUGUUUUUCACGUUUCACGGUCUUCUGAUAUCCCUACUGCAACAGGCUGGAAAGUUGUUCAUUCCCAGCGGUUUUUGAAACGACGGCCUGUUAGCAUACUCUAACUCCUUAGCCUCCUUAACUAUGGAGAGUUAAACAUUGCCGCGCUGCUUGAUUUUGAGUAAAUGGAAAUGACAGUUUGAGGACACUUAGGAGACUUAUUCGUACAUCUACAAGUCAUCAACAUGUUAUAUUACAUAUCCAAGUAUUAGCCUAACAACCCCAUUAUGCAGGGCUGAAGGAGCGCAGAGAAGAAACAGCACACGCCAUUUUACAGCACGUGUUUAAAGCCCCAUCGCUGGUAAACAACCCAGCUAUGCCACACCCACAGUCACAUGGCUUGUUGUUCCUCUGAAUAUGUGCUUGUUAGUUGUUGUUAGUUAUGGGGAGGUUUUCUGAGAAGUGAGAGUAGGUCUUGAACAAGUCUCUUCAGCUGUUUCCUGUUGAUGUACCUCAGAAGCCAUUACGAGAUAGCGAGAGAAAGAUGGAAACAGAGUCGUGUGUGUGUGUGUGUGUGUGUGUGUGUGUGGGUGUGUGUGUGUGUUUUAGUUUAAACUGCUCUGAACACAGCUGACAGGAAGCGGUCGUAUACACUGAUGCAGAUACAGAGCUGUGAAAUAAACAGCAGAAAAUUCUGCUGCACACAGAAACACACAUCAGGCUGUUCCUGGGUCUUUACUCGGCAACACUGCUUUCCCCAGCCAGGCCCAUUGGCCUCCUUCUGACUGCCAGAGAGGAGGAGUACUCGAUCUGUGGGUUGGUCUGUCUGAUACACACUCUAGACAACUCC
rnacentral:lncRNA from 1 species